CCUGCGGAGAACUAUACAAACGAUAAUAGCGAGCGUUUGGCGAGGUCGGGUUCGUAGAAGCAGGAA
rnacentral:sRNA from 1 species